GGUGUACAGAUAAAACCAACACCAUGCUUGCAGCAAUGUUUCAGAAAAUUAAAAUAAAACAAUAAAUGACAUUCUCAGUCUUGUUUAAAGCACACUGACCAAUUUCGUUUGUUUUGUUUUUUACAAUCAUGUUACAGAAAAAGGGAAGAUACAGCUUGGGUGCAGGAGCCAGGAGUUCCAGGCAUGGAACUCAGGAAUGGGGUUGGGUGCACAGACCGAAGACCUCUGUGAGGAGUGGGGAGGCAGACCAGGAACAACCACUGCUCACACCCUCAGCUGGAGGCACCAGAGUCCAGGUGCUGCUGGGAAGCCUCCUCACUGAAGCACUGGCCAAGAUUCCUUCCAGAAAGAGCCAGAAAUGACAUCCUAAGGCAGCGAUGGUGAACCUUUUAAAGCUUUCAGAGUUACAAACAGCCCACUGCUACAGGUUUGCUACCACUUUCCUGUUCUGUCCAGCUCUGGAGAGUUAGUGCUUUUCCUUAAAUACCCUUCCUAUCUCUGCCUCUCACAAGCCUGAGAUUAACCUAAGUCCCAGAGCAAACACUAUGGUCUCCUGGAAUCCAUCCUUACUCCCCCGGCCCACCCGCCCACACACUUCAACUU
rnacentral:lncRNA from 1 species